rnacentral:misc_RNA from 1 species
ACAUUUUUUUUUUUUUUUUUUUACUAAUGCGAUAACUUCUCCAAGAUAAAACAUCUGUAAAAGAUAGAUCAUAUAAUUUAGAAUUUGAUGCUAUGACAUACUGUUAUUUUAAUCUUUUUCCUGCUUGGCAGCUGUCAACAAUGAAUCAAGAGCCACACAACAUCAAGAAAUAGGUAGCUUUUCACUUUCCAGUAACAAGAGCUGAUUUCUGCCAUGCUCAUUGAUCUUGUUUUCUUAGUGUGGGUAUAUCUAUAUGCAUAAACCCCCGCAUUUAUACUGUAUGCAUGUAUCAUUCCUUUUUUCAGUCGACCAACUCUAGCUUCAUAGUUAGGACAUGCAAGUUAAAGAAAGAAAAUACAUGACACUAAGUGGCUCUCUCACCUAUAAAAGCUAAUAAUCUUCCUAAGUGCCUUCCCAUACCUUUCCAUCAAUUAGAGAUUCAU